rnacentral:ncRNA from 2 species
CUCUUAUCAAGAGUAGGUGGAGGGACUGGCCCGAUGAUACCCGGCAACCGACAUUUCCAUGCAGUUGACCUGCAGGGAUAUGCACGGUGCUAAUUCUUGCGGAAACAAACGUUUCUGAGAGAUGAGAG